GUCGAUUUAAUUUAAUUCUAGUGGCGGACGGGUGAGUAACGCGUGGGUAACCUGCCUUAUACAGGGGGAUAACAGUCAGAAAUGGCUGCUAAUACCGCAUAAGCGCACAGAGCUGCAUGGCUCGGUGUGAAAAACUCCGGUGGUAUAAGAUGGACCCGCGUUGGAUUAGCUUGUUGGUGGGGUAACGGCCCACCAAGGCGACGAUCCAUAGCCGGCCUGAGAGGGUGAACGGCCACAUUGGGACUGAGACACGGCCCAGACUCCUACGGGAGGCAGCAGUGGGGAAUAUUGCACAAUGGGGGAAACCCUGAUGCAGCGACGCCGCGUGAAGGAAGAAGUAUCUCGGUAUGUAAAC
rnacentral:rRNA from 1 species